GACGAACGCUGGCGGCGUGCUUAACACAGGCAAGUCGAACGGAAAGGCCCGGCUUUUGUGGGGUGCUCGAGUGGCGAACGGGGGAGGAACACGGGAGUAACCUGCCCUUGACUUGGGGAUAAAUUCAGGAAAAUGGGGGUAAUACCGGAUAGGAGCUCCUGCUGCAUGGUGGGGGAUGGAAAGUUUCGACGGUUGGGGCUGGACGCGCGGCUUAUCAGCUUGUUGGUGGGGGAGUGGCUUACCAAGGAUAUGGCGGGUAGCCGGCCUGGGAGGGUGACAGGCCCCAUUCGGCCUGGGAGACGGCCCGGACUCCUACGGCAGCCAGCAGUGCGGACUUUUCCGCGAUGGGCGGAAGCCUGAUGGAGCAACUCCGCGUGCGGGAUGACGGCCUUCGGUUUGUAACCCGCUUUCGCCUGUGACGAAGCCUCAGUGACGGUAAUGUGUAAAAAAGCACCGGCUAACUACGUG
rnacentral:rRNA from 1 species